UACAGAGGUCUCGAGCGUUGUUCGGAUUCAUUGGGCGUAAAGGGCGCGUAGGCGGCGGGGUAAGUCUGGUGUGAAAUCUAGGAGCUCAACUCCUAAACUGCACUGGAUACUGCUCUGCUAGAGGACUGGAGAGGAGACUGGAAUUCACGGUGUAGCAGUGAAAUGCGUAGAUAUCGUGAGGAAGACCAGUGGCGAAGGCGGGUCUCUGGACCAGUUCCUGACGCUGAGGCGGCGAAAGGCCAGGGGAGCCAAAGCUGGGAUUA
rnacentral:rRNA from 1 species